CAGUCGCCGCGGGAAUACGUAGGGUGCGAGCGUUAAUCGGAAUUACUGGGCGUAAAGCGUGCGCAGGCGGUUUUGUAAGACAGGCGUGAAAUCCCCGGGCUCAACCUGGGAAUGGCGCUUGUGACUGCAAAGCUAGAGUGCGGCAGAGGGGGAUGGAAUUCCGCGUGUAGCAGUGAAAUGCGCAGAUAUGCGGAGGAACACCGAUGGCGAAGGCAAUCCCCUGGGCCUGCACUGACGCUCAUGCACGAAAGCGUGGGGAGCAAACAGGAUUAGAGACCCCAGUAGUCCCUGUCUCUUAUAC
rnacentral:rRNA from 1 species